GGGUUGUGAGGUUAAGCGACUAAGCGUACACGGUGGAUGCCCUGGCAGUCAGAGGCGAUGAAGGACGUGCUAAUCUGCGAUAAGCGUCGGUAAGGUGAUAUGAACCGUUAUAACCGGCGAUUUCCGAAUGGGGAAACCCAGUGUGAUUCGUCACACUAUCAUUAACUGAAUCCAUAGGUUAAUGAGGCGAACCGGGGGAACUGAAACAUCUAAGUACCCCGAGGAAAAGAAAUCAACCGAGAUUCCCCCAGUAGCGGCGAGCGAACGGGGAGCAGCCCAGAGCCUGAAUCAGUGUGUGUGUUAGUGGAAGCGUCUGGAAAGGCGCGCGAUACAGGGUGACAGCCCCGUACACAAAAAUGCACAUGCUGUGAGCUCGAUGAGUAGGGCGGGACACGUGGUAUCCUGUCUGAAUAUGGGGGGACCAUCCUCCAAGGCUAAAUACUCCUGACUGACCGAUAGUGAACCAGUACCGUGAGGGAAAGGCGAAAAGAACCCCGGCGAGGGGAGUGAAAAAGAACCUGAAACCGUGUACGUACAAGCAGUGGGAGCACGCUUAGGCGUGUGACUGCGUACCUUUUGUAUAAUGGGUCAGCGACUUAUAUUCUGUAGCAAGGUUAACCGAAUAGGGGAGCCGAAGGGAAACCGAGUCUUAACUGGGCGUUAAGUUGCAGGGUAUAGACCCGAAACCCGGUGAUCUAGCCAUGGGCAGGUUGAAGGUUGGGUAACACUAACUGGAGGACCGAACCGACUAAUGUUGAAAAAUUAGCGGAUGACUUGUGGCUGGGGGUGAAAGGCCAAUCAAACCGGGAGAUAGCUGGUUCUCCCCGAAAGCUAUUUAGGUAGCGCCUCGUGAAUUCAUCUCCGGGGGUAGAGCACUGUUUCGGCAAGGGGGUCAUCCCGACUUACCAACCCGAUGCAAACUGCGAAUACCGGAGAAUGUUAUCACGGGAGACACACGGCGGGUGCUAACGUCCGUCGUGAAGAGGGAAACAACCCAGACCGCCAGCUAAGGUCCCAAAGUCAUGGUUAAGUGGGAAACGAUGUGGGAAGGCCCAGACAGCCAGGAUGUUGGCUUAGAAGCAGCCAUCAUUUAAAGAAAGCGUAAUAGCUCACUGGUCGAGUCGGCCUGCGCGGAAGAUGUAACGGGGCUAAACCAUGCACCGAAGCUGCGGCAGCGACGCUUAUGCGUUGUUGGGUAGGGGAGCGUUCUGUAAGCCUGUGAAGGUGUACUGUGAGGUAUGCUGGAGGUAUCAGAAGUGCGAAUGCUGACAUAAGUAACGAUAAAGCGGGUGAAAAGCCCGCUCGCCGGAAGACCAAGGGUUCCUGUCCAACGUUAAUCGGGGCAGGGUGAGUCGACCCCUAAGGCGAGGCCGAAAGGCGUAGUCGAUGGGAAACAGGUUAAUAUUCCUGUACUUGGUGUUACUGCGAAGGGGGGACGGAGAAGGCUAUGUUGGCCGGGCGACGGUUGUCCCGGUUUAAGCGUGUAGGCUGGUUUUCCAGGCAAAUCCGGAAAAUCAAGGCUGAGGCGUGAUGACGAGGCACUACGGUGCUGAAGCAACAAAUGCCCUGCUUCCAGGAAAAGCCUCUAAGCAUCAGGUAACAUCAAAUCGUACCCCAAACCGACACAGGUGGUCAGGUAGAGAAUACCAAGGCGCUUGAGAGAACUCGGGUGAAGGAACUAGGCAAAAUGGUGCCGUAACUUCGGGAGAAGGCACGCUGAUAUGUAGGUGAAGCGACUUGCUCGUGGAGCUGAAAUCAGUCGAAGAUACCAGCUGGCUGCAACUGUUUAUUAAAAACACAGCACUGUGCAAACACGAAAGUGGACGUAUACGGUGUGACGCCUGCCCGGUGCCGGAAGGUUAAUUGAUGGGGUCAGCGCAAGCGAAGCUCUUGAUCGAAGCCCCGGUAAACGGCGGCCGUAACUAUAACGGUCCUAAGGUAGCGAAAUUCCUUGUCGGGUAAGUUCCGACCUGCACGAAUGGCGUAAUGAUGGCCAGGCUGUCUCCACCCGAGACUCAGUGAAAUUGAACUCGCUGUGAAGAUGCAGUGUACCCGCGGCAAGACGGAAAGACCCCGUGAACCUUUACUAUAGCUUGACACUGAACAUUGAGCCUUGAUGUGUAGGAUAGGUGGGAGGCUUGGAAGUGUGGACGCCAGUCUGCAUGGAGCCGACCUUGAAAUACCACCCUUUAAUGUUUGAUGUUCUAACGUUGACCCGUAAUCCGGGUUGCGGACAGUGUCUGGUGGGUAGUUUGACUGGGGCGGUCUCCUCCUAAAGAGUAACGGAGGAGCACGAAGGUUGGCUAAUCCUGGUCGGACAUCAGGAGGUUAGUGCAAUGGCAUAAGCCAGCUUGACUGCGAGCGUGACGGCGCGAGCAGGUGCGAAAGCAGGUCAUAGUGAUCCGGUGGUUCUGAAUGGAAGGGCCAUCGCUCAACGGAUAAAAGGUACUCCGGGGAUAACAGGCUGAUACCGCCCAAGAGUUCAUAUCGACGGCGGUGUUUGGCACCUCGAUGUCGGCUCAUCACAUCCUGGGGCUGAAGUAGGUCCCAAGGGUAUGGCUGUUCGCCAUUUAAAGUGGUACGCGAGCUGGGUUUAGAACGUCGUGAGACAGUUCGGUCCCUAUCUGCCGUGGGCGCUGGAGAACUGAGGGGGGCUGCUCCUAGUACGAGAGGACCGGAGUGGACGCAUCACUGGUGUUCGGGUUGUCAUGCCAAUGGCACUGCCCGGUAGCUAAAUGCGGAAGAGAUAAGUGCUGAAAGCAUCUAAGCACGAAACUUGCCCCGAGAUGAGUUCUCCCUGAGACUUUAAGUCUCCUGAAGGAACGU
rnacentral:rRNA from 1 species